GAAGGGGGUUCGCCGUCCGUCCGGCGCGCGGGGAGAGGUCCUGGGGCGGGGCCUUGGCGCCGCAACCGGCACCCGCCGCCGGUGGCGCAGGCCCCGGUGUUAGAGUGCUUUAAGUAACUUACUGCCGUUUACCUGAAGUGCUCGGCAGUGCCGUUGCCCUUACGGGCUGCCGUCGGGCUCAGGGGAAGCGGGAACAGAAAAUCCCUCUUUAAUACUGUAAUUAACAAAUUAGCAAAGACUCACGGACUCACGGAAUCACAGAAUAGUAGGGGUUGGAAGGGACCUCUGGAGAUCAUCUAGUCCAACCCCCCUGCCAGAGCAGGGUCACCCAGAGCAGGUGGCACAGGAACGCGUCCAGAAUUCUGUAUUGUAAGAAGCAAUGAGUAAUGGAUCAGCGGAGAUUACUUCAGGUGUCUGUGAAGUUACAAGACUCCUAAAUUUGGAUGACCACAAAUCCAAUACAACUCUUGACAUGCAGAGACAACUUUUCCCCACUGCUGGAGCAGAUUUAGUCCUGAAGAACUGCAGCCUGUGGAGAGGACCCAUGCUGGAGCAGGGGAAGAGUAUGAGGAGGAAGGAGGGGGAGAGGGGAGCUGUUACAGAUUGACUGCAGCUCCCUGCUCCCCCUUCCCCCGCCACUGUUCUCCAUCCCUCUGUGCCAUUUGGUAAAGGAGUUGCUAAUGAAGUUGAGCCUGGGGAAUAAAGGGGAGUAAGAGGAAGGUGUUGGUUUUGGUUUUGUGUUUAU